AAAUUAAUUUUACAUUUUAACUAUGCUCAUUAGUUUGGGGAUCAUUUGGGGAUAUUUUGGCAGGAGGUUUCAACAUUUAGGGAAAAUUAUUUGAUUUAUUAUAAAUUAAUUAAGUUGGAACGUAUAGUUAGCAAACAAAUAAUUUAAAAUUUUUGAAAAAUUACUCAAAGCUUUUAAAUGUUUUGGGGAAUCGAUUCCUCAAGACCAAAUUAUUUAGGGAAGAAUAAAACUCCUUCAAUUACUUAAUUUCAAUUCUAAAUGGAGAAGCGCCGGGGAGGAAUCGAUGUAUACAUAUAUAUUCAUCCGCGAAGUAUUGUUUGGGGACUCAUUGAAUUCAACAUCUAAUUCGACGUUCGACCACAUGUUCUUGAAAAAAAAAAACAUAACCUAACAAUCCUGGAAAGAGCGCGGAAACUACGUGUGAAUUGCACUCCCUAUGAUAUCAGCGUUAAGUUUAUUUACCACCGAUAUGUUGCAUAUUUGUACAUUACAAGAGGUUUCGUGCGAGAAAAGAAAUAGUCCGUAAAAUACAGGGACAAUGAAAAGUAUGUGGCACGUGUACUGGUGAUAAGCAAUGAUGAAACAUCUUUGAGGACGUUGAAGUCAAACAUAGGGGAUGACGCAUGAGUACCACGUUGAUGAGUUUUCUCACGGUCUCGAAAAACGUCACCAAGCAUAUGGGUGAAAAAAUCCAGUAAUAAUGGAUCAUUAAAUUCGUUCUUCUCUGCACUUGAAAUUUAAUGAUUCAGUUUUCCUCGUGCCCUCGACAUGAAUAAUGCCUGCCUAUCCUGUAAACUAUCUUUCUCUCCAGGGAAUCACAUACGAAAAUUUCAAUAGAAAACCCCAAAGAAUUCUAUAGGAAUUUCUAUAGACUUUCUAUAAGACUUCUAUUGAUUUUUCUAUUCCCUUUUGCCGUUUUGUCUUGACAUGUUCGAUAGGAAAUUUUCUAUAGAAAAAGUCAAUAGAAUCUCAGUUUUCUAUAGAUUUUUUGUCGCUCAAGUUUUCUAAGUUUUUCCAUUCGAUUUUUUUGAAGAGAAGAAAAUAAAAAAAGACUAAAAGACUUAAAAAAUUUAAGUUCAAAAAAUUCUAUCAAAAAAUGAAAUUCUAUUGACUUUUUCUGUAGAAUAUUUCCUAUUGAAUAUAUCAAUAGAAAACGACAAAAACGAAUAGAAAAUUCAAUAGAAGUUCUAUAGAAAUUCCUAUAGAAUUCUUUAAGGUUUUCUUUUAAAAAUUUUCGUAUGUCGUAAUCCUGUUUUUGUAGGCAAAGCUAUCUGUCCUGACGAGAAGCUAAACCCAUGGACUCGUGCUUUGUCGUUGAACUGGGCAAAUGAGGAAGGAGAUUUUUCUGGAGAGAACAAUUCUUAAACCUCCAAUAUUUACAACGAUUAGGAAACAUGAUGAAAUAGGACGUUGAUGUUUUUGAAAGACAGGAUAUUUCAUUCUUAAUGAGGCUACCGAUAUCUCUCUCCAUCCCAGUAAAAUAUAUUUCCAUUUCACGAACGACAUAAUUUUUUAUGUCGGAGGUCAAUUCAGUUCUUCUAACAUUCUUCCUUCGGUUAAUUUUAUCAUCAAUUCGAGGUCUUUCGCAACACUCUGUCUAAUUGCUCAACUCUGCAAAUCAAUAAUCAAUCGUUUGGUGAUUCUAAUGAAAAAUUAUGAAGAAAAUCAUUUUAGAGUAACUCCUUCUGUAUUUAAUUACAGUGAUCUCAUGAGUGCAUUUUUUGACCAGAAAAUCCUCCACAAUGGUGGAAGUUGAGAAUGGGGAAUUUAACGAAAGAUGCUAUCGAUAUCAUUCCAGCUCCAGUGAAUCAUCGAGAGCCAAAAAGGAAAGCAUCAGCAUCAUCGUUACUCGUUCUCUCUGGCUGCAUGGCUCUGCUUGAUUCACGAGUUUGAUAAACUGAUAAACAACGUCCGACUGUGUUAUUACCGUUUAUAGAAUUGGAUUUUUUUUGUGUUCACAGAUUUUACUUGGAAGCAGGUAAAAGUCCACCAGGAAAUCGAAUGCAGAAUCUCAUUGACUAGAACACGUGUUUGAAGAUUAUGUUUAGACCUCGAAUGUGUUCUUCGUGGCUUUUCUCAAAUUAUUUCAAACAAAAUUCUCAUCAUUAAAACAGUUGUUGUAGUCCAUGAAUAGACAAAUGUUGCAUAUUUCCGACUGUUAUUGAAAAAAAAACAUUCCAUGUUCCCUCAUUAUUUCUCUAUAAUUUCAAUAAAUAUUCUUCACAUGAAUUAUUUAUCUUGCACGCAAUUUCUCCGUCUUUUUCGCAAUUAAUAAUAAUGAUGUGGUUUUGAAUAAGUGUUUGAGCUCAUUACAAAGAAAUGUUUUACGAUUGUAUUUGAUGAGGAAAAAGAAACAGUACAAUACAGUACAGUACAAUUAA